UACAGAGGGGGCAAGCGUUGUUCGGAAUUACUGGGCGUAAAGGGCGCGUAGGCGGCCUUCUAAGUCGAACGUGAAAUCCCCGGGCUCAACCCGGGAACUGCGUCCGAUACUGGAAGGCUUGAAUCCGGGAGAGGGAUGUGGAAUUCCAGGUGUAGCGGUGAAAUGCGUAGAUAUCUGGAGGAACACCGGUGGCGAAGGCGACAUCCUGGACCGGUAUUGAUGCUGAGGCGCGAAAGCCAGGGGAGCAAACGGG
rnacentral:rRNA from 1 species